rnacentral:lncRNA from 12 species
UGCAGCCUUGUGUAAAUUGCUGUUUCUUGAAUUCUCCCAUUCAUGGUCAUGGUGGUAGAUUACACAUUUCCUUUCUGGAGGGCUAAUUAAAGUUAUCCAGUUAAUUUCUAGGUAGUCUCGAGGCAGCUGCAACAUCUAUAACCAAAGAAACGCUUUUUACUUGAAUAAAUGGUCUGUAUGCUCUUUGAUAUUUUAUCAGGCUGCCUUGGGAAAGGCAGAUAUUUAACAUUCAGAUGCUGCUCUCGUGGAUGGAGUUCAUGUGGUCCCUGCUGAAAUCGAAAGGAUUCUGCUUAAUUUGUGAAAAUAUGAGAUUAAAAUCACAGAAGGAGAAUAAACAGAGAACAACCAAGCCGUCAAGUGGCCUUCCUUCUAGUACAUAGAUUGACUACCGGAUUUUCCAGCACUCAGCUGAGAGUAGGACAGUAGCUAUUCCUUUC